rnacentral:lncRNA from 1 species
GAGGGUUCAUUUUUGUCUUAAUUGAAAGAUGUUUAAAUAAAAAAAGAACAAUACAUGUGGAUAGCAGUGCCCUAUCUGUGUUGUUCGACUUUAACAAAAGGGAAAAAAAAGUGUUGUGUUGGUGGUUCUUGAUGCCUUUAAAUCUUCAAUCCUUUAUCCUUUGUCAAAUUCGACAGAAACAAGGAAGAAAUCGAGCUGGAUAGAGGAGUUUAAUCACGAAUUUAAACAAGGUAAUCAUUUAUUUUAGUUUCUCAUACACUAUUGUUUGGUUCUUGAAAGGUAAGUUGUGAACUAGGGUUAAUAUUAAAUCGAAAUUUUGAGCAUUUCUAGUGUUUUAGACCUUAACUGUAUCAUUUAAUAUGAGAUUAACCUAUGCAUUGCAUCUAUUGUAUAUCAUGGGGAAGGUCAAAACUAUUUAUCUCGAGUUAUUAUUGUUUGACCCGACCCUAAUCAAAUAGUAUAUAAUCCGAAACAUAGGGAUAGGAAAAAAAAUUUAGGUCUUAUGACUUUCUUGCCACCGUAAAAACUUUUAGUCAACCUCAAUCACUGUUUUCAAUAUUUUCAUUUGUUAUAUCGAUAUAGCUAUAGAUUAUUUAUGUUUUUAUUGGUUAUUAAAAUUAUUGUUAUUAUUACUUGUGGGUUGGAUAACAGGCUCGCAAAAAUUUUUGGGUGUCUUUUUUUUUUU